rnacentral:rRNA from 1 species
UACGAAGGGGGCUAGCGUUGUUCGGAUUUACUGGGCGUAAAGCGCACGUAGGCGGUUUGUUAAGUCAGGGGUGAAAUCCCAGAGCUCAACUCUGGAACUGCCUUUGAUACUGGCAAGCUCGAGUCCGGAAGAGGUAAGUGGAACUCCUAGUGUAGAGGUGGAAUUCGUAGAUAUUCGCAAGAACACCAGUGGCGAAGGCGGCUCACUGGCCCGGUACUGACGCUGAGGUGCGAAAGCGUGGGGAGCAAACAGG